UACGAAGGGGGCUAGCGUUGUUCGGAAUUACUGGGCGUAAAGCGCACGUAGGCGGACAUUUAAGUCAGGGGUGAAAUCCCGGGGCUCAACCCCGGAACUGCCUUUGAUACUGGGUGUCUAGAGUAUGGAAGAGGUGAGUGGAAUUCCGAGUGUAGAGGUGAAAUUCGUAGAUAUUCGGAGGAACACCAGUGGCGAAGGCGGCUCACUGGUCCAUUACUGACGCUGAGGUGCGAAAGCGUGGGGAGCAAACAGGAUUAGAAACCCGAGUAGUCC
rnacentral:rRNA from 1 species